GUCGCUGAUAUUUGAUGAUCCUAUCAAAUAUUUCCUAUUUUUGGAGUAGGGUGUACAUACCAUGAUUUGUGUCCUACCACGAGACCUACACACGGCGAAAUUAGUCGGCAGGGAUUGGUGAUCCACUCUGCAAGGCGGCUUUGCGACGUGAUGAUCAUUUUCCAUCCAGAGAUUCAUGAUCGACAUGUAUAGCGACCGAUUUCCCUUCCUCCUACUCAGCCUGGGACUCCUCCUGGCGCAAAUUUUACAUGGUGCUCUUGGAAUAACUUUAAAAAAUAGCCUUAGUAAUUCACGUCCACGCCUCGGCGACACGAUAACGCUUGAGUGUAACAUUGUUAUUGGGACCGCCAAGAGUGUUUCAUGGUACAAGGACAAAACUGGAAACAUCAGUC